GACGAACCGAGCGAACGUUGUUCGGAAUCACUGGGCUUAAAGGGCGCGUAGGCGGGCUGUCAAGUCCGGGGUGAAAUCUUUCGGCUUAACCGGAAAAGUGCCUUGGAUACUGACAGUCUCGAGGGAGGUAGGGGCAGCUGGAACUUCCGGUGGAGCGGUGAAAUGCGUUGAUAUCGGAAGGAACUCCGGUGGCGAAAGCGAGCUGCUGGACCUCUUCUAACGCUGAGGCGCGAAAGCUAGGGGAGCAAACGGG
rnacentral:rRNA from 1 species